UGAGCAACCUGCCCUUGACUCUGGAAUAACAGUUGGAAACAGCUGCUAAUACCGGAUACGACCUUUGAUGGCAUCAUCGAAGGUGGAAAGCUCCGACGGUCAAGGAUGGGCUCGCGGCCUAUCAGCUUGUUGGUGAGGUAACGGCUCACAAGGCUUCGACGGGUAGCCGGCCUGAGAGGGCGACCAGCCACACUGGAACUGAGAUACGGUCCAGACUCCGUAGGACGGA
rnacentral:rRNA from 1 species